rnacentral:rRNA from 1 species
GACGAACGCUGGCGGCGUGCUUAACACAUGCAAGUCGAACGGAAAGGCCCUGCUUUUGUGGGGUGCUCGAGUGGCGAGCGGGUGAGUAACACGUGAGUAACCUGCCCUUGACUUUGGGAUAACUUCAGGAAACUGGGGCUAAUACCGGAUAGGAGCUCCUGCUGCAUGGUGGGGGUUGGAAAGUUUCGGCGGUUGGGGAUGGACUCGCGGCUUAUCAGCUUGUUGGUGGGGUAGUGGCUUACCAAGGCUUUGACGGGUAGCCGGCCUGAGAGGGUGACCGGCGACAUUGGGACUGAGAGACGGCCCAGACGCCUACGGGGGGCAGCAGUGGGGAAUAUGGCACAAUGGGCGGAAGCCUGAUGCAGCAACGCCGCGUGCGGGAUGACGGCCUGCGGGGUGUAAACCGCUUUCGCCUGUGACGAAGCGGGAGUGACGGUAAUGGGUAAAGAAGCACCGGCUAACUACGUG